GUAUCUGAAGCCUGACGAGGAUGAGAACCUCCGGGGGCAAGAGGUUUCGACUCGAGCGAAGCGAGAGAACGUUGCGUCAGCAACGGCCCGCAGUGGCAAGUCAUCCUCUGUCACCGGCAG
rnacentral:sRNA from 1 species